UACGUAGGGGGCUAGCGUUGUCCGGAUUUAUUGGGCGUAAAGAGCGUGUAGGCGGCCAGGUAGGUCUGCUGUGAAAACUCGAGGCUCAACCUCGAGACGUCGGCGGAAACCAUCUGGCUAGAGUCCGGAAGAGGAGAGUGGAAUUCCUGGUGUAGCGGUGAAAUGCGCAGAUAUCAGGAAGAACACCCGUGGCGAAGGCGGCUCUCUGGGACGGUACUGACGCCGAGACGCGAAAGCGUGGGGAGCGAACAGG
rnacentral:rRNA from 1 species